rnacentral:lncRNA from 1 species
UUAUUUCAUAGUAACAGUUACAUCAGAAGUCAUUUAUAAAGAAAAAUACAUCAGGAAAACAACUUAAUGUUUGUCUGGCGACUCGUCCGACAGCUUUUGCUUGCCUUCUGAUGUCUCCGGGUCUAAAAAAGAAGAAACUCGAAAUAUCUUAGAUAGAAAAUUUGAAACGAGUUUGUUUUUGUAUACAGAUAAAAUAGAUAUAGAGAGAAAGUUCAGGAUUCUCCGGUUGCAAUAUAUGAGAACCUUCGAGCAGUGAAGAAUCUAUCAGUUCAGCGUAAUGAAGUUGAGACAAGAAAUCAAGCUUAUCAUCGGUCUACUAAGGAACACUUCGAUCUUCAUCAUAUCUAGUUUAACCUACAAAGAAGCCGCUCAAAACAUCAUUUUCUCCCACAAAUGACACCCAAACAUCAUUCGGUGAAUUCAAUUGUAGUAGAAAGCGGUGUUUUGAGAGACUUCUUUAUAGAUUAAAAAAGAUAGGAUGAUGAGCAAGGUGGUCUUUAGAAGAGUGUUGAUGAGAUCGGUUCUUUGUCUCACCUUUAUUGUGUUGAACCAACUGCUCGAAGAUUCUUGAAUACUACCGAAAAAUUCUGAGAUCUCUGUCUCUGUAUCUAUUCCAUAUAUCUGUAUGAUAACCUUUUUCCAAACUCGCACUCUAUUUAUAAAGAGAUAAAUUAAAUGUUAAGAUAUUCCAAAAUCCAAGUAUAUUAAUUAUUAUGUCAAUUUCAGAUUUUCUGGGAUUCUAAAUUUUUACAUGGGAUUUUUAUUGAUUUUAUUUUGAGUACAAAACUACUCAUUGAGAAUUAAUAUAUGGGGUAAUUGUAAAAUACCCUCUAAAAUAGCUUUAUUACAAAUAAACCAAUGUAAAUUUAGAAAAAAUAUAUAAUUGAACAAUUGUAUUUUAAAAGGUUUUAAUUGAGACACAUGUAUAAAUACCUUGACCUUAAAAAUUAAAAUUUUCAAUUAAGGUAUUUAUAUAUCCUUUAUUUAACGAGUAUUUUUCAGAUAUUUCCAGAUAUAUAUGUCUAAAAGACACAAAAUGAUAUCAUCACCUUUUAUAGUCCAAGGAUCUAGAUCCAAUAUAACCUAUUAGAAGUUAACCACUGCAGAUUUCUGAAUGAAUCGCAAACGAAAUGCGAUGAAGAAAGAAGAGAAGAAAAAAAUGACAAAACUAUAUCAAUAUUUUACACCAUACUAUAUCAAAAAAUAAAAUAAAUAUCCAAAUCUUACGCAAUGACAAACUAAGUAAUGUUAAAAUUAGAAACUAAAAAAAAUAAAACUCAAUCUGGAAUCAAACAGUAGAAAUAAUAUCAAAUACCAAUCCCAAAAAAAAAAAAAAAAUAGAAAACACUGAAAGCAAUUAAGUAGAGAAACUAAUCAUCUGAUAAAAACUGAAAACAAUCGCAAUACAAUCGCCACCUGAUAAGCAAUCAAAAGAGAGAGAGAAAAAUUGCAAAUCUAAUAGCAAUCAAGUAGAGAAGAAAAAGAAAGAAAAAAUUGCCUUUUUACAAGGAGAGUUAGUUGAAACUGUAUACAUAGCACAAUCACCUGGCUUUGAUAGAAUAAAAUCUCCAAAUCAUAUAUGCGCAAGUUAAAUAAAGUCAUUUAUGGGCUUAAGCAAACUCCUAAAUUCUGGUACAAUAGAUUAAGAGAUUUUCUAGUAUUAAAUGGGUUUUAUAAUAGUCUCUCAGAUUCAUCUUUAUUUACUUAUUUUAAAGAUAAUAUUUUAAUAUGGAUGGUUGUGUUUGUUGAUGAUCUAAUAAUAACAGGAAACAAUAUUAAAAAAACUGAGUUAUUCAUAAAACACUUAUGUGAGGAGUUUAAAUAUAGAGAUCUUGGAAUUCUAAAUUUUUUUCUUGGAAUAGAAAUAAAUUACAACAAUGAUGGCAGCAUAUAUAUGAAUCAAUAUAGGUAUGCCCUCAACAUACUAACAAAAUAUAACGUGAUGAACUGUAAACCUUGCAAUUCACCAGUAAUACCAAAUUCAAAAUUCAAGAGAAAUGAUGGUGAACUAGUCAAAGAUAUUACAAACUAUAGAGCCUUAGUUUGAUCUUUGCAAUAUUUAACUCAAACAAGACCAGAUCUGGUUUACGUAAUAAAUCAAGUUGCUCAGUUUGUUCAUGAGCCUAUAACAGGAUACUUAGCAGCAGCUAAGAGAAUUCUGAGAUAUAUCAAAGGAACACUUAGUAAUGGGUUACAUUUCAUCAAAAUAUCUAAAAAGAAUAAGAUUUUUGGAUACUGUGAUGCUGAUUUUGCAGGAGGCCCAGACUCCAAAAAAUCAACAACAGGUUUAUGUGUCUUUAUUGAAGGGAAUUUGGUAACAUGGAUAUCUAAGAAACAAGAUACUGUACGUAUCCAGAUCCAGUGCAAAAGCAGAAUAUAAAGCAUUAGCAACUCUAGCUGCAGAAAUUAGAUGGACAACAUUUAUCAGCAGAGACUUAUGUUUUUCCAUACAUCAUAUACCACAAUUAUUUUAUGAUAACAAAUCGACAAUUUUUAUGGCUAAAAAUCCAGUAAUUAAACAAAAAUCAAAACACAUAGAAACGAACAUCUAUUUUAUUAGGAAAUUAAUAUCUAAAAAUCACAUAAAAGUUGAUCAUGUAUGUUCUGAAAAUCAAUUGGCAGAUGUCUUCACUAAGGGAGUGUCACAUAAUACUUAUAUUAAUCUUUGCAGAUUAUUAAAAUUGAAAUUUCAUUUAUGAAGGUAAGUAGGGUUGAUUGUAUAUGUGUUAUAACCUAACUUGUGUAUUUUGUGUGGAUUUUUUUUCCUAGAUGAUUAAAAACUGGACGAAUCACAAGUCAAGAUCUGAAAUUGCAAUACAAAAUAAUUAACAUAAGUAAACUAAUUAAAGAGUGACAGGUUUGGUAUCACCCACUAAAUGGAAUUUAACAAACAGAAAACAAUAUGUAAGUUCUAAAUGGAAAUAAGAAAUUCAGAAAAGAAACUUGAACAACAACAAAUCAAGAAAUAGAAAAUUGAAUGAUAGGACAAUUGAAUUUUAUUGAAACAACAACUAGAUCAAUCUUGAUCGGAAUAAUAUACCUGAAAAUGUGAAACGAAAUACGACGAUUACCAAACAAGAAUGACAACUUAGAACACCGAGAUCUAUUGCAGAAGACCAGAAAAAAGAAAGAAAAAAACUCACAAAUGGAAUUAAUUCUCGUGCCUU